rnacentral:rRNA from 1 species
GGGGAAUUGUUCGCAAUGGGCGCAAGCCUGACGACGCAACGCCGCGUGGAGGAUGAAGGUCUUCGGAUUGUAAACUCCUGUUGAUCGGGACGAACAUCCAUCGGGAUAACACCCCGGAGGACUGACGGUACCGGUUGAGGAAGCCCCGGCUAACUCUGUGCCAGCAGCCGCGGUAAUACAGAGGGGGCAAGCGUUGUUCGGAAUUACUGGGCGUAAAGGGCGCGUAGGCGGCUUAUCAAGUCAGGCGUGAAAUUCCCGGGCUCAACCUGGGGGCUGCGCUUGAUACUGAUUGGCUUGAAUGCGGGAGAGGAUAGUGGAAUUCCCAGUGUAGAGGUGAAAUUCGUAGAUAUUGGGAAGAACACCGGUGGCGAAGGCGGCUAUCUGGCCCGUAAUUGACGCUGAGGCGCGAAAGCGUGGGGAGCAAA